rnacentral:rRNA from 1 species
CUGGUGCCAGCAGCCGCGGUAAUUCCAGCUCCAAUAGCGUAUAUUAAAGUUGUUGCAGUUAAAAGNUCGUAGUUGAAUUUCGGGAUUGACACAUCGGUCGUGCCUUAAGGGGUAUGAACUGGUGUAGUCAAUUUCUCACCUUCUGGAGAACCGCGAUGCCCUUAAUUGGGUGUCACGGGGAACCAGGACCUUACUUUGAAAAAAUUAGAGUGUUUAAAGCAGGCAUUUUGCUUGAAUACAUUAGCAUGGAAUAAUAAAAUAGGACGGCAUGAUUCUAUUUUAGUUGGUUUCUAGGAUCACCGUAAUGAUUAAUAGGGAUAUUGGGGGCAUUAGUAUUCAAUUGUCAGAGGUGAAAUUCUUGGAUUUAUUGAAGACUAACUGCUGCGAAAGCAUUUGCCAAGGAUGUUUUCAUUAAUCAAGAACGAAAGUUUAGGGGGAUCGAAGACGAUCAGGUACCGUCGUAGUCUUAACCAUAAACUAUGCCGACUAGGAAUCAGACGAUGUUAAUUUUUUAAUGACUCGUUUGGCACCUUACG